rnacentral:rRNA from 1 species
CUGGCUCAGGAUGAACGCUGGCGGCGUGCCUAAUACAUGCAAGUCGAACGAGGGUAGCAAUACCCUAGUGGCGAACGGGUGGGUAACACGUAGGUAACCUGCCUUUUUAGCUUGGGAUACCCGAAGGAAACUUUGGCUAAUACCGGAUAAUAACAACCGAGGCAUCUCGGAUGUUUGAAAGGAGCUCUAAAGCUUCACUAAAAGAUGGACCUGCGGCGCAUUAGCUAGUUGGUGAGAUAACAGCCCACCAAGGCGAGGAUGCGUAGCCGAACUGAGAGGUUGAACGGCCACAUUGGAACUGAGACACGGUCCAAACUCCUACGGGAGGCAGCAGUAAGGAGUUUUCGGCCAAUGGGGGCAACCCUGACCCAGCGACGCCGCGUGAGGGAAGAAGGUUUUCGGAUUGUAAACCUCUGUCUUCGGGGACGAUAAUGACGGUACCCGGGGAGGAAGCCACGGCUAACUACGUGCCAGCCGCAGC